UCGAUGUCGGCUCAUCACAUCCUGGGGCUGAAGCCGGUCCCAAGGGUAUGGCUGUUCGCCAUUUAAAGUGGUACGCGAGCUGGGUUUAGAACGUCGUGAGACAGUUCGGUCCCUAUCUGCCGUGGACGUUUGAGAUUUGAGAGGGGCUGACCUUAGUACGAGAGGACCGGGUUGGACGAACCUCUGGUGUUCCGGUUGUCACGCCAGUGGCAUUGCCGGGUAGCUAUGUUCGGAAAAGAUAACCGCUGAAAGCAUCUAAGCGGGAAACUUGCCUCAAGAUGAGAUCUCACUGGAGCCUUGAGCUCCCUGAAGGGCCGUCGAAGACUACGACGUUGAUAGGUUGGGUGUGUAAGCGCUGUGAGGCGUUGAGCUAACCAAUACUAAUUGCCCGUGAGGCUUGACCAUA
rnacentral:rRNA from 1 species